CGGUUGGAGGCCAAGUUCAGCAGGAGCAGCCGGCCCAGGCCCCGGAAGGCGCCCUCGGCCACACGCUCCACCUGGCAGUUCCGCAGGUCCAGAUGCGUCAGUGCUUAGGAUUAUUUCUGGCUCUGCACCCAACGGUCACUCUGGGAGGUGCUCAGGGACCCUAUGGGAUGCUGGAGCUCAAAGUCGGGUCCACCGCGUGCAAGGCAAACGCCCUCCCCGCUUAUGGAUCUGCCCCCUGGAAGGAAUCACUCCUGGUGGUGCUCAGAGAACCAUAUGGGAUAACGGGGGGUCGAACCCGGAUCAGCCACAUGCAAGGUCGGCGCCUUCCUCAUGCUCAUCCUGCCCUGACACCUCCUCCAGGAAGCCGCCUUCCCCACCGACCUGGGCAUCCCUGACUC